GGGCUGAUAGCUCAGUUGGUAGAGCGCUGCACUUGUAACCCAGAGGUCGCCGGUUCGAAUCCGACUCAGUCUC
rnacentral:tRNA from 1 species